CGCGGCUCUGGAGAGUGCUGCUUUUGGCAGCCACCCAAGGGGAAAGCCACUUUUUGGUUAAACUUUCAGGUGCAAGGACAGAGAA
rnacentral:ncRNA from 1 species